GUAAAGGUCAAGUAUGGAUAAACGGUCGAAGUAUAGGAAGGCACUGGCCUGGAUACACAGCUCGUGGGAAUUGUGGAGAUUGUGAUUAUGCUGGAACCUAUACUGAUAAAAAAUGUAAAAGUAAAUGCGGACAGCCCUCUCAACAAUGGUGGGACUUUCACUAGUUGGUGUUGCUACCUUAUGAUUAUCACCACAUUUUGAAUAAUUGUUGAUGACGAUAUUAAUCUCAGGUACCAUGUUCCUCGCUCAUGGUUGUUCCCCAAGGGGAAUCUAUUAGUUGUGUUUGAA
rnacentral:misc_RNA from 1 species